rnacentral:rRNA from 1 species
AGAGUUUGAUCAUGGCUCAGAUUGAACGCUGGCGGCGUGCUUAACACAUGCAAGUCGAGCGGUAACAGGUGUAGCAAUACAUGCUGACGAGCGGCGAACGGGUGAGUAAUGCUUCGGAAUCUACCCAGUAGUGGGGAAUAACUAGCCGAAAGGUUAGCUAAUACCGCAUACGAACUACGGUUGAAAGCGGGGGAUCGCAAGACCUCGCGCUAUUGGAUGAGCCGAAGUCGGAUUAGCUAGUUGGUAGGGUAACGGCCUACCAAGGCGACGAUCCGUAGCUGGUCUGAGAGGACGACCAGCCACACUGGGACUGAGACACGGCCCAGACUCCUACGGGAGGCAGCAGUGGGGAAUAUUGGACAAUGGGGGAAACCCUGAUCCAGCGACGCCGCGUGUGUGAAGAAGGCCUGCGGGUUGUAAAGCACUUUUAGUGGGGAUGAAAAGCCUUGUUCUAAUAAAACAGGGUCUUGACCUAACCCAAAGAAAAAGCGCGACUUGGCC